UAUAGCUCAGUGGUAGAGUACUUACCUAGCAUGCAUGAGGCCUUGGGUUUGAUCCCCAGUA
rnacentral:tRNA from 1 species